rnacentral:rRNA from 12 species
UUUCACCUACAGACAAGUGCGAGUGCCCAAUAGCGUCUGCUCUUGGAAGCUAAGCAGGGCCGUGUCUGGUUAGUACUUGGAUGGGAGACUCAGACACAAAGGUUGUGUCAGGA